AAUAGCCAAAUCAAAGAUCUGUGUACACUUCCGAAACCCAUAGAUAGAAUUCAUAAACUCCCAUGGAGUUCAAUGGCAAAAGGUAACCAUUCAUACCAAUACACCUAUGUUGGCUUGAGAUGUUCCACUAAUCAUAUUCGGGGUGUAACUCUUCUGACCCCAUGGCGGUAAGCUGAAUAGAAAAGGAUUCCGUUAGAGGAGCGAAAUGCAGAGACCUGGAAAGUGUAUUUUAAUAGCGAACAAGUUUAAACCAAAGUUGGCAACUAUAUAUAUAUAUAUUUUAGAGAACA
rnacentral:misc_RNA from 1 species